rnacentral:rRNA from 1 species
UAGGGAAUCUUCCGCAAUGACGCAAGUCUGACGGAGCAACGCCGCGUGAGUGAAGAAGGAUUUCGGUUCGUAAAACUCUGUUGUUAGAGAAGAACAGCGCAUAGAGUAACUGUUAUGCGUGUGACGGUAUCUAACCAGAAAGCCACGGCUAACUACGUGCCAGCAGCCGCGGUAAUACGUAGGUGGCAAGCGUUGUCCGGAUUUAUUGGGCGUAAAGCGAGCGCAGGCGGUCAAUUAAGUCUGAUGUGAAAGCCCCCGGCUCAACCGGGGAGGGUCAUUGGAAACUGGUUGACUUGAGUGCAGAAGAGGAGAGUGGAAUUCCAUGUGUAGCGGUGAAAUGCGUAGAUAUAUGGAGGAACACCAGUGGCGAAGGCGACUCUCUGGUCCGUAACUGCCGCUGAGGUUCGAAAGCGUGGGUAGCAAACAGG